CAGCCCUUGACAUCCCGGUCGCGGCUUCCAGAGAUGGAGGCCUUCAGUUCGGCUGGACCGGCGACAGGUGCUGCAUGGCUGUCGUCAGCUCGUGUCGUGAGAUGUUGGGUUAAGUCCCGCAACGAGCGCAACCCUCGCCCUUAGUUGCCAUCAUUCAGUUGGGCACUCUAAGGGGACUGCCGGUGAUAAGCCGAGAGGAAGGUGGGGAUGACGUCAAGUCCUCAUGGCCCUUACGGGCUGGGCUACACACGUGCUACAAUGGUGGUGACAAUGGGCAGCGAGGCCGCGAGGCCAAGCUAAUCUCAAAAAGCCAUCUCAGUUCGGAUUGCACUCUGCAACUCGGGUGCAUGAAGUUGGAAUCGCCAGUAAUCGCAGAUCAGCACGCUGCGGUGAAUACGUUCCCGGGUCUUGUACACACGC
rnacentral:rRNA from 1 species